AUUAAGUAACGUCCCGCCAACCC
rnacentral:siRNA from 1 species